rnacentral:rRNA from 1 species
AACGAACGCUGGCGGCAGGCCUAACACAUGCAAGUCGAGCGAAGCCUUCGGGCUUAGCGGCGGACGGGUGAGUAACGCGUGGGAACGUGCCCUUUGGUACGGAAUAGCCCCGGGAAACUGGGAGUAAUACCGUAUGUGGUCGAGAGACGAAAGAUUUAUCGCCAAAGGAUCGGCCCGCGUUGGAUUAGGUAGUUGGUGGGGUAAGGGCCUACCAAGCCGACGAUCCAUAGCUGGUUUGAGAGGAUGAUCAGCCACACUGGGACUGAGACACGGCCCAGACUCCUACGCGGAGCAGCAGUGGGGAAUCUUAGACAAUGGGGGAAACCCUGAUCUAGCCAUGCCGCGUGAUCGAUGAAGGCCUUAGGGUUGUAAAGAUCUUUCAGUUAGGAAGAUAAUGACUGUACCCACAGAAGAAGCCCCGGCUAACUCCGUGCCAGCCGCCGCCGUAACAC